rnacentral:lncRNA from 1 species
GAUUCACGGAGUAGCUCGACAACUCAAUGUGGGAGAAGUUUCUGCCAAGGAGGAGGGGAAUGCUUGGCCCAACUUAUUCACCUUUAACCGUACCACAGCUACUGGUAUGACUCUUAAUUUUAAACCCCCAACUGUUAUUGACGGCAGACGUAAUACUAGAAGCACCUGAAAUUAAUCAGACGGCAGACGUAAUACUAGAGCUACUUCUAUGGCAGGUAUUAAGGGGCUUGCAACUAGCACCAUUAGUGUCAUUGACCAGCCCGAGAUCAACUGAAAAGGAAAGCUAGCCAACACUCUCCGCUCUGACUGCCUAUCUACUUGUGCUCGUAGCUUAAUUAGAAAUCAAAUUAUGGUCCGAC